GGAGAGAUGGCAGAGUGGUCGAUUGCGGCAGCGUGCUAAGCUGUUAUGGCGGUAACGCUAUCGGGGGUUCAAAUCCCUCUCUCUCCGCUA
rnacentral:tRNA from 1 species